UACGUAGGUGGCAAGCGUUGUCCGGAUUUACUGGGCGUAAAGAGCGCGCAGGCGGUCGAUUUAGUCGCGUGUGAAAGCCCCCGGCUCAACUGGGGAGGGUCACGCGAUACUGAUCGACUCGAAGGCAGGAGAGGGUAGUGGAAUUCCCGGUGUAGUGGUGAAAUGCGUAGAUAUCGGGAGGAACACCAGUGGCGAAGGCGACUACCUGGCCUGUUCUUGACGCUGAGGCGCGAAAGCUAGGGGAG
rnacentral:rRNA from 1 species